GACAGAGGGUGCAAACGUUGUUCGGAAUUACUGGGCGUAAAGCGUGUGUAGGCGGUCCCGUAAGUCGGAUGUGAAGCCCUGGGCUCAACCCAGGAAGUGCACUCGAAACUGUGGGACUAGAGUAUCGGAGAGGUUGGUGGAAUUCUCGGUGUAGAGGUGAAAUUCGUAGAUAUCGAGAGGAACACCGGCGGCGAAGGCGGCCAACUGGACGAAUACUGACGCUGAGACA
rnacentral:rRNA from 1 species